rnacentral:rRNA from 1 species
CUUCUUUCCAAUAAGGAACAAAGCGCAAAGUGCCGGUACCUAUANAAGAAANCNCCGGCCUAACUACGUGCCAGCAGCCGCGGGUAAUACGUAGGGUCCGAGCGUUGUCCGGAAUUACUUGGGCGUAAAGAGCUCGUAGGUGGUUUGUCGCGUUGUUCGUGAAAACUCACAGCUUAACUGUGGGCGUCGGNCGAUACGGGCAGACUGGAGUACUGCAGGGGAGACUGAAUUCCUGGUGUAGCGGUGGAAUGCGCAGAUAUCAGGAGGAACACCGGUGGCGAAGGCGGGUCUCUGGGCAGUAACUGACGCUGAGGAGCGAAAGCGUGGGGAGCGAACAGGAUUAGAUACCCUGGUAGUCCACGCCGUAAACGGUGGGUACUAGGUGUGGGUUUCCUUCCUUGGGAUCCGUGCCGUAGCUAACGCAUUAAGUACCCCGCCUGGGGAGUACGGCCGCAAGGCUAAAACUCAAAGAAAUUGACGGGGGCCCGCACAAGCGGCGGAGCAUGUGGAUUAACUCGAUGCAACGCGAAGAACCUUACCUGGGUUUGACAUGCACAGGACGCCGGCAGAGAUGUCGGUUCCCUUGUGGCCUGUGUGCAGGUGGUGCAUGGCUGUCGUCAGCUCGUGUUGUGAAUGU